CAGCCGCCGCGGUAAAACGAAGGGUGCGAGCGUUAAUCGGAAUUACUGGGCGUAAAGCGUGCGUAGGCGGUGAGUUAAGUCUGCUGUGAAAUCCCCGGGCUCAACCUGGGAAUGGCAGUGGAUACUGGCUCGCUAGAGUGUGUCAGAGGAUGGUGGAAUUCCCGGUGUAGCGGUGAAAUGCGUAGAGAUCGGGAGGAACAUCAGUGGCGAAGGCGGCCAUCUGGGACAACACUGACGCUGAGGCACGAAAGCGUGGGGAGCAAACAGGAUUAGAUACCCCCGUAGUCCCUGUCUCUUAUAC
rnacentral:rRNA from 1 species